rnacentral:rRNA from 1 species
GACGAACCGUGCGAACGUUGUUCGGAAUCACUGGGCUUAAAGGGCGCGUAGGCGGCUUGCCAAGUCAGUGGUGAAAUCCCACAGCUUAACUGUGGAAGUGCCUUUGAUACUGGCGAGCUCGAGGGAGGUAGGGUAUGUGGAACUUCUGGUGGAGCGGUGAAAUGCGUUGAUAUCAGAAGGAACGCCGGUGGCGAAAGCGACGUACUGGACCUCUUCUGACGCUGAGGCGCGAAAGCUAGGGGAGCAAACGGG